AUGGCGACCGGCGCACGGGUGAGUAACACGUAUCCAACCUGCCGAUAACUCGGGGAUAGCCUUUCGAAAGAAAGAUUAAUACCCGAUGGCAUAAUUAGACCGCAUGGUCUUAUUAUUAAAGAAUUUCGGUUAUCGAUGGGGAUGCGUUCCAUUAGGCAGUUGGUGAGGUAACGGCUCACCAAACCUUCGAUGGAUAGGGGUUCUGAGAGGAAGGUCCCCCACAUUGGAACUGAGACACAGUCCAA
rnacentral:rRNA from 1 species